UAAUUUCGCUGAAAACUUUAUCCAAAAUAUGAGAUAUUCGCGCCUUUUUAUAUUUAUGGUGAAUGAAACUUGCCAGACAAAGUUUCAGCCUUCUGAGGCUCAUUAAGAGCUAUUUGCGAUCGUGUGUGGAUGAGGCCAAACUAUCCAACCUCACUUUGCUGGGUGUUGAGCGGGACAUAAACACUAAUGACUAAGUGGUUGGCAGGUUUGCCACCUUGAAGGAGAGGAGGAUGAAGUUUUAAAAGGGGCCGUGAAAUGUACAAAGUUUGUUAAACUGUUCGGAUUAUUUUGUUCCAUGGAGGAUGGAGAAAUACACAAAUGGACUAACGUUACACUAAACUACAGUCUAAGCAGGGACAACAACUGGUACUGCAAAUUCUGAAGCAAAAAUUCCAAGAGAUUAAGCUCACAUAUACUGGUGCAGUUCCAAAGGACUACAGUGCAUGCCAGACCUGCAGAGACCCAUCUUGAGAGGACGGCUGGCUGAUGACAAGGGGAUGCCAAGGAAGAGAGUGAUGCAUCCCUCAGAACCACAGCAGGUUGGGCUUGUCUCUAGAGUUCUAGCCCUGACAUCACAGAGCAGCUCCUUGAGCAUCAAGUCAGCAGGAGACUUGGAAAAGUAUCCCAACUGCCAGGGUCAACGGAGCAUUGACCUUUGACACAACAUGGAGGUUCAGAGAGUUUGGGCUCUCUUACCUAAACCUCUUGUGGGCUGCUAUCUAACAGAACCCUCACUGAGAUGGAGUUGAGAGAGGGAAGGUUCCACCGGCUGUUCUUUUCCACAGACUUAAAGAGGUGCCAUAUGCUUUAAAAUGUCACUCCUAACUGUAGGAAUCCCUUUGACAAACCCGGCUGUUAACAAAUUCUGUUGUUUUAAAGAUUACAAACAGAAAUGUUUGUUUGAAAUAUGAAAUAUGUCUAUCUCUUGCACAUUCGGGUAAAUUUAUUUUCCUCCUUAUCUCCUCCAGCCUAUUCCACUUGGAUCAGGAAGGUGUUUCUAAGCUCUGACUUCAUUAGUUUUUAUAGGUUAUGGUUGGUGAGAUAACCUUCAGGUUUAAGGAGGUUAUGGCAUGAAAUUCUUUUUCCUCUUCAGGCAUUGCAUAUGUAUUCUAAUAUUACACCGAUAAAAAUAUAUUCCCUUUAAUCUACUGUAGAUACUCUAUGAAAUGUGUUAUGUAACAUCAACUCUAGCAUGUUUCCGUCCUCCAAAAAUCCUUAACUCAAGCAAUUACCAUAUAAAAGGGCAUAAGUAAAGAACAUCUUGCUGUUACAUUUAUUACCUAUUCAUUAAAAUUAUUAAGCAUUUGCCAGAUGUGAUUUGCAUACAAAUAAUCUAUAAAUAAAUCAUAAAGUGUUUCUCA